CCUACGGGAGGCAGCAGUGGGGAAUAUUGCACAAUGGGGGAACCCCUGAUGCAGCGACGCCGCGUGAGUGAAGAAGUAAUUCGUUAUGUAAAGCUCUAUCAGUAGGGAAGAAAAUGACGGUACCUGAGUAGGAAGCCCCGGCUAACUACGUGCCAGCAGCCGCGGUAAUAAGUAGGGGGCAAGCGGUAUCCGGAUUUACUGGGGGUAAAGGGGGCGUAGACGGCAGUGCAAGGCUGGAGUGAAAGGCGGGGGCUCAACCCCCGGACUGCUGUGGAAACUGUACGGCUGGAGUGCAGGAGAGGUAAGUGGAAUGCGUAGUGUAGCGGUGAAAUGCGUAGAUAUCAGGCGGAACACCAGUGGCGAAGGCGGCUUACCGGACCGUAACUGACGUUGAGGCUCGAAAGCGUGGGGAGCAAACAGGAUUAGAUACCCUUGUAGUC
rnacentral:rRNA from 1 species